UGAUCACACCUGGGUUAAUGGGCGGGGUAUAUAAGCAGGUUAGGUCUCUCUCUCAGGAGGCACUCUUUUCGGUUGUUGCAGGUACUAUUACGGUAUUCUUUCACUUGGGCACGUUGCGUUGUUCUUUAUCUUUAACUCUUUCCCCUCAUCCUCACUCCUAUCAGCUAUAGUCUAAUUUCUAACAUACAGACGCAUUCACUGCAUCCACUCACCCACAACCUCUAUCUCGCACUUAAACAUAUACCCUUAGACAUUCAUUACUCCUUGUUUGUUUGUUUGCCUUGCUAAAUAAAUUACAUUUUUGCUUUAAAACUCAAUUCUGUUGUUGUCCCUUUAAUUAUGUGAUGGUGAAGUGUUUCACCGUAACAUAAUUUUGGGGGCUCGUCCGGGAUCGCCUGUCGGUGAAAAAUCCGGAAUCCAUAGACUUUUGUGAGUUCAGGUGAGAACGUCAAUUGUUUUGGCUAUAGUUUUGUGCAGUCUCUGGCAAGGAAGAGUGCUCCAGCUGGGUUUGCCAUAUUAAUCUUUUGAAACCUUACUUUUCUUCUUUGUCAGUUGCACCUCUUGGGUUAAUUGCUACCACGCCUCUAGGGGUCUCUAGUGACCUAGACCAUGUGUUUUCCUCAGGGGAUAACAAUUCUGAAAGUCUUGAUUCUGUCAGUGAGGAGUCCAGCGAGGGUGUGAGAGCUCCAUCACAGGCGAUCAUAGAGGGUCGCCUGCGAAAUUCAGAGUUCCUGGCAGAAUUACCUUCACAUCUUUCCCAUCUGAAUGAUGUGGAGAAAGCAGAUAUCAUUGGUUUGGUUGAAUCUUUUCCUGCUCUUUUCCCUGAUGUUCCUACCCGUACAUCUGUGAUUGAGCAUGAUAUUGACGUUGGGGGGGCUUCGCCAAUAAAACAACACGCCUAUCGUGUUAAUCCUAGAAAGAAGGAAUUAUUACAGAAAGAAGUGGACUAUUUGUUAGCCCAUAAUCUGGCUGAACCUAGUUUUAGUGCAUGGAGUUCACCCUGUUUGUUAGUGAACAAACCGGAUGGCACUUUUCGUUUCUGCACUGACUAUAGGAGACUUAAUUCAGUUACAAAGCCAGACUGCUAUCCAUUACCCCGAUGUGAUGAUUGUAUAGACCGAGUUGGCUUAGCAAAAUUUGUGAGCAAAUUUGACCUUCUUAAAGGGUACUGGCAGGUCCCUUUAACAUUCAGGGCUAAGGAGUUAUCUGCGUUUGUUACGUCUGAUAAUUUCCUGCAGUACCACGUCAUGCCAUUUGGGGUCAGAAAUGCUCCCGCCACUUUCCAGAGGCUCGUUAACCGGGUCUUGGCAGGUAUGCGGGGUUGUGAUGCGUACAUAGAUGAUGUGGUCCUAUAUAGUACCAGCUGGACUCAUCAUUUAGACCAAAUCAACAAACUCUUUACUCGUCUUGCUGCCGCUAAUCUUACAGUAAACCUUGCCAAGUGUGAGUUCGGUAAGGCUAGUGUUACCUAUCUUGGUAAGAUAGUUGGGAGGACAAGUUCGGCCUGUAGGAGCUAAGAUUGAAGCCAUAUGUAACUUUACUGUACCUGGAACGCGCCGAGAGCUCCGGAGGUUUCUUGGUAUGGCAGGUUACUACAGGGCCUUUUGUAAAAACUUUUCUUCUGUUGUUACACCUUUGACAAACCUCCUUAGCCCUAAAGUGCAAUUUGAUUGGUCUAGGAAAUGUCAGGAAGCUUUUGAGAAUGUUAAGCUCUUGCUUCUUCCCCUGUGCUGUCGGCCCCAAACUUUGACAGUGUAGCUGUUGAUGCCAGUGGGAGUGGCGCUGGUGCAGUUUUGUUACAGUUGGGAUCCGAUGCGUAGAGCACCCCGUAGGAUAUUUUUCUAAAAAGUUUAAUCGUCAUCAGCAAGUUUACUCCACAGUGGAGAGAGAAGCACUUGCUUUAAUUCUUGCUGUUCAACAUUUUGAGGUCUACUUGGGCUCAUCUUCGAGUCCAAUAGACGUUUUUACUGACCACAACCCGCUGGUGUUCAUUGAUCGUAUGCGGAACCAGAAUCAACGCAUUAUGCGCUGGAGCUUAAUUCUACAGCAAUACCCGCUGAAAAUCCAACACAUCAGGGGCAAAGACAAUAUUGUGGCAGAUGCGUUGUCCCGUUGUUGAAAUUACUUUUUGUUUUUCUUCUAUCUCUACCUUGUGACUGUCGAGUUCCGGGGUUUCACUGUUUUUCCUAGUCCUAGGGCCCAGGAUCUAGGAAGAGACAGUGUUGUGGGUUUGAACUCUUGAUUUCUGUUUGGUUAUUUGAGGUUUAGACAAACCUCUUUUUAGUGGGGGAGGUGUGACGACCCCCUGCACCCCCUUAAGGCUCUUUGAUGCCACUACAGGGCUACUACUUAGGUAAGGUGAUCAUAAUCACAUUAUUGAUCACACCUGGGUUAAUGGGCGGGGUAUAUAAGCAGGUUAGGUCUCUCUCUCAGGAGGCACUCUUUUCGGUUGUUGCAGGUACUAUUACGGUAUUCUUUCACUUGGGCACGUUGCGUUGUUCUUUGUCUUUAACUCUUUCCCCUCAUCCUCACUCCUAUCACCUAUAGUCUCAUUUCUAACAUACAGACGCAUUCACUGCAUCCACUCACCCACAACCUCUAUCUCGCACUUAAACAUAUACCCUUAGACAUUCGUUACUCCUUGUUUGUUUGUUUGCCUUGCUAAAUAAAUUACAUUUUUGCUUUAAAACUCAAUUCUGUUGUCCCUUUAAUUAUGUGAUGGUGAAGUGUUUCACUGUAACACAGGGCAGCAGCUUUUAGGCUGCAGUUUGUACAGCGUUACCUUUCCUGCCAUGAUGAUGUCGUCUGGAGGCAGCGUGGACACUUUUUAAAUGGGACCGACUGGGGCCUGCAACCUCUCUUUUCUGGCUCCUGGAGGAGCCCCUGGUGUGUGGGGCCCGGCUGGACAUACAAGGCGACAGCAGCCCUGGCCUCCCCAGCGCCUUCGCUCCAGGGGGUCGGUCAGGCUGAGGCAGGUGGUGGACGUGGCAGGGCCCGGGCUACACAACACGCAGGCUGUGGCCUCUCUCCUGGGCCUGAGGUCCAGCCGGCACACCAGACACAUCCUGAACCAGUGGAGUAACAGGCUGAGCGCAGAGGAGCAUGAGAUGCUGAGGGAGUACAGCAGCGGGGCGGAGGUACCGGACGAGGGAGAUCCGUUCCCGGAACUCAGUCUGUCCGUGGACCAGAGCGGGCUGGACAAACCAAUGGGCAUUUCUAAGUCCAUGUUGGAUAUACAAAUGCUUCCGGGGAAAACCUUAUACAAGUACUGUGUGGUGGCUGUACACAAAGAAAAACUGAGCACCCACAGAGACAGUGUGGAAACAGAGGCUGCAGGGCCGGGCGUAAGUGUGGAGGCUUCUCUACAAGCCUCCACUAAACAAAAGGACAGGAGACCUGCAAUGGAGGAUCCUGCAGGGGGCGCUGGCUGUCAGUUUUUCUGUUUCCAAAAUCAACCCCACUGUCAGAGACUUGUCCCUUCCGUGACCAACCUGAAACCCUGGUUCACUGCUAUCUUGAGUGUUUUAUUCCACGUUUAAUGUGUGGAGAGGUGUGGUCGGAGGCUGGUUUUAUUGGUGGUGCUGGUUAUGACAAAAAAGAUUUAAAGAAAUGGUGUCUGUUAAAUUAUGUGGUGGGUCAAGCGAAAAUGGCAAUCUACAAAACCAGGAAAAACCAAGUAGAGGGGGAGGCAGGCCUUGGGCUAAGGGAGAUGUUUUGCGUGCUGGUCAAGGCCAGGAUAAAGAUAGAUCACAGGUAUCAUGAGCUAAUGAACACGAUGAAGGAUUUUACAGAUGUUUGGUGCUUCACCACAGCUGUGUGUUUGAUACACGAGGGAAAGCUCUCUUUUAAUGUGCAUUUUAUUUAUUAUUAAUUUUCCCUGUCUAAACCAAAGAUUGCUUGCAUAAAAUGACAAAUUUCUUUUGUUGAAAGAAACUGAAAAUAAACUUUUUCCAAAAAUCUCCCUCUAUCCCCCUCUCCAUCUCCAUCUCCCUCUCUCUCUCUCUGGAAGUUUAAUUGGGUUUAUUACAAUGAUGGACAUUGCUGUUAGCCAAUCAGAGGUGAGACAUUUGCAUGUCAUGAACAUGAAUAUAUAUCUUUUGCACCAAAACCGACUCAGAGGGCAUUCAUUGCCAUUAGUGAUCAACACAAAAUAAAUGAAAAUCGAUGCAUUGACAUCUUUAAGCAAUGUAACACGUGUGAAUGGGG
ensembl:lncRNA